rnacentral:rRNA from 1 species
GACGAACGCUGGCGGCGUGCUUAACACAUGCAAGUCGAACGGAAAGGCCCUGCUUUUGUGGGGUGCUCGAGUGGCGAACGGGUGAGUAACACGUGAGUAACCUGCCCUUGACUUUGGGAUAACUUCAGGAAACUGGGGCUAAUACCGGAUAGGAGCUCCUGCCGCAUGGUGGGGGUUGGAAAGUUUCGGCGGUUGGGGUUGGACUCGCGGCUUAUCAGCUUGUUGGUGGGGUAGUGGCUUACCAAGGCUUUGACGGGUAGCCGGCCUGAGAGGGUGACCGGCCACAUUGGGACUGAGAUACGGCCCAGACUCCUACGGGAGGAAGCAGUGGGGAAUAGUGCACAAUGGGCGGAAGCCUGAUGCAGCAACGCCGCGUGCGGGAUGACGGCCUUCGGGUUGUAAACCGCUUUCGCCUGUGACGAAGCGUGAGUGACGGUAAUGGGUAAAGAAGCACCGGCUAACUACGUG